AAAGGAGGGUGCCCUUCGGGAAUUCAGUGACAGGUGCUGCAUGGCUGUCGUCAGCUCGUCCCGUGAGGUCUUGGGUUAAGUCCCGCAAGGAGCGCAACCCUUAUUGUUAGUUGCCAUCACAUAAUGGUGGCACUCUAGUGAGACUGCCCGUGUCAACCGAGAAGAAGGUGGAGACGACGUCAAGUCAUCAUGCCCCAUACGCAUAGGGAUACACACGUACUACAAUGGUGCAUACAAAGGGUUGCGAAACCGCGAGAUCAAGCCAAUCCCAAAAAAUGCAUCCCAGUCCUGAUCGGAGUAUGCAACUCGACGCCGUGAAGUUCGAUUCGCUAGUAAUCCCGGAUCAGCAUGCCGGGGUGAAUACGUUCCCGGGCCAUGUACACACCGCCCGUCACACCACGA
rnacentral:rRNA from 1 species